rnacentral:tRNA from 3 species
GCCCCCAUCGUCUAGCGGCCCAGGACACCGGCCUUUCACGUCGAUAGCACGGGUUCGAAUCCCGUUGGGGGUA